rnacentral:rRNA from 1 species
UACGUAGGGUGCGAGCGUUAAUCGGAAUUACUGGGCGUAAAGUGUGCGCAGGCGGCCGAGCAAGUCGAGUGGUGAAAGCCCCCGGGCUUAACCUGGGAACUGCGCUCGAAACUACUUGGCUGGAGUGUGGCAGAGGGAGGUGGAAUUCCACGUGUAGCGGUGAAAUGCGUAGAGAUGUGGAGGAACACCGAUGGCGAAGGCAGCCUCCUGGGCCAACACUGACGCUCAUGCACGAAAGCGUGGGGAGCAAACAGG